CAUAGCAUAAAUAAACCCCAUUAACAAUUCAACCAAUGGAAGGUCCUCGCAAGGGUAGUCAGACGUGUACGUGUGUGUGUUUGCGUGGAUGAAUAUCUCAGAACAGAUUCUGUCAGGCUUUAACGGUUUGCUCCGGUCAACGGCGUUAAGUCACAUCAGAUAACCGGUAAAGGUUCAAGACGUCUGAUUAUUACUUUAGAUCUGCUCUCCUGCCUGCCUGCUCUUUCAUCUGGCAACCACAUCAGCUCAGUGAAGUGCUCCAGAGCUUUCUCCAGCACUCAUUCACGUGGAAGUAGUACACACACACCAUGAUAAUUACCAGUCAUGACCGCUCAGCGUCAUGUGUUUUUCUCCCCAAAGCAUGUCCCUCUGUGUUUACUCAGCCAUGUGUGUGGUUUCUGUAACUCAGCCCCGUGUGUAACGUCUCUCAUCGACACGUCGGCGAGUUUUCACUUCGGUUAAUGUUUUCCUACACUACCCACUACGCCAUCCGACCGCCUGCUGAUCGUGGCGCCACCGGGAACAUCUCCUCAUCUCUGUUUAACGAGAGCGGUUGCAGCGGCGCUUUAGUCCUUUCGUAUGUCCAGGUCUCUCUCGCCUCCGCAUCCAAACAGAACUUCGCGGCCGUCGUCCUGUAGAUCUCCGACUAGCCGGGCGGAUUCUCCGCCGUAACUCGGCGAAGCGACAUCGUAUAACCGCGCUGCAUUCUGGGACUCCGAGUCCAGCGUUUGCUUCGCCGUGUUGGAUUUCUUAUUAAUAUUGUGAGUGGGGAAAAUAUCUCUUUUGUUUUCCCAAAUAUUGAGUAUAUUUAUGCAUUGCCUUUCCAUGACCGAUAUUCUGUAAAUGGUGCAGGGGCCAAAGGUCAUUAGGUAACCUGAUGCAGGACGUGCAUGCACCUGUCCAUCGUGACUCCAUGGAUCGUAAAUAAAUUAUUUUAUCAUUCAGGUUGGCGAGUCUCGUGAACUUUGCUCUAAGGCGUUCAGUGUUUUCGGGAAUUUAUGACAGACUUCAAAUAUUUCCCUUUUUUUUUUUUUCUUUUUUUUUUUCCGGUUGUCUAUUUAAAGUAACAUCCAGUGACACGCAAUCACGACAAAACAAACAACCAAAGUGCAGAACGCAUCAGAGGAAGAACAGGGUAUCCGUUAUUCAUUUUUGCUCGUGUUGUACGCUCGCUAUCCAACCAUUUUUUUGCCUUUAUUUUCGUGGCACUCGUCGGUGGAAAUUAUUAGGAGCAAAAUGUCCGUGUGCAGUGAACACGUCGAGAGUGAAGGUGCUGCAGCUGUGUGUCUGAUCUGAUCACGCGAGCCUCGUUCGCAGGAGGAAGAUCUCCUAAUAUUUCUCGAUUUCGUGAACGUAACUGAAUUUGAAUGCGGCCAUCUAGACUGUCUGCCUCACAAAAUGCCUUGAAGCAUCAUCUGUGUGUGUGUGUGCGCGUGUGUGUGUGCGUGACAUAAACACAUACACGAUGGACUUGACUGUUAUAUGAAUAGAUACAGGUAUAACUUAUGAAUGAGAGAGACAGAGAGUGAGUGAGAGAGAGAUACUGAGAGAGAUAGUGUGAGAGCGAGAGAGUGAGAGAGAUAGUGAGUGUGUGUGUGAGAGAGAUAGUGAGUGUGAGAGAGAUAGUGAGAGAGAUAGUGAGAAGAGAUAGUGAGUGUGAGAGAGAGAUAGUGAGUGUGAGAGAGAUAGUGAGAGAGAUAGUGAGUGUGAGAGAGAGAUAGUGAGAGAGAGAUAGUGGUGUGAGAGAGAUAGUGAGUGUGAGAGAGAGAUAGUGAGUGUGAGAGAUAGUGAGAGAGAUAGUGAGUGUGAGAGAGAUAGUGAGAGAGAUAGUGAGUGUGAGAGAGAUAGUGAGAGAGAUAGUGAGUGUGAGAGAGAGAUAGUGAGAGAGAUAGUGAGUGUGAGAGAGAUAGUGAGAGAGAUAGUGAGUGUGAGAGAGAGAUAGUGAGAGAGAGAUAGUGAGUGUGAGAGAGAGAGAUAGUGAGUGUGAGAGAGAGAUAGUGAGUGUGAGAGAGAGAUAGUGAGAGAGAGAGAUAGUGAGUGUGAGAGAGAGAGAUAGUGAGUGAGAGAGAGAUAGUGAGUGUGAGAGAGAGAUAGUGAGAGAGAGAGAUAGUGAGUAAGAGAGAGAUAGUGAGAGAGAGAUAGUGAGUGUGAGAGAGAUAGUGAGUGUGAGAGAGAGAGAUAGUGAG
ensembl:lncRNA